rnacentral:misc_RNA from 1 species
GAUGAAGAACGCAGCGAAAUGCGAUAAGUAGUGUGAAUUGCAGAAUUCAGUGAAUCAUCGAAUCUUUGAACGCACAUUGCGUCCCUUGGUAUUCCGAGGGGCAUGCCUGUUCGAGCGUCAUUAUAACCCCUCAAGCUCAGCUUGGUGUUGGGGCCUGCUGCACUGGCAGCCCUUAAAAUCAGUGGCGGCGCCAUCUGGCUCUAAGCGUAGUAAUUCUUCUCGCUAUGGAGUCCUGGUGGAUGCUUGCCAUCAACCCCCAAUUUUUCUAUGGUUGACCUCGGAUCAGGUAGGGAUACCCGCUGAACUUAAGCAUAUCAAUAAGCGGAGGA